rnacentral:rRNA from 1 species
AGUGAACGCUGGCGGUAGGCCUAACACAUGCCAGUCGAACGGCAGCACAGUAAGAGCUUGCUCUUACGGGUGGCGAGUGGCGGACGGGUGAGGAAUACAUCGGAAUCUACUUUUUCGUGGGGGAUAACGUAGGGAAACUUACGCUAAUACCGCAUACGACCUACGGGUGAAAGCAGGGGAUCUUCGGACCUUGCGCGAUUGAAUGAGCCGAUGUCGGAUUAGCUAGUUGGCGGGGUAAAGGCCCACCAAGGCGACGAUCCGUAGCUGGUCUGAGAGGAUGAUCAGCCACACUGGAACUGAGACACGGUCCAGACUCCUACGGGAGGCAGCAGUGGGGAAUAUUGGACAAUGGGCGCAAGCCUGAUCCAGCCAUACCGCGUGGGUGAAGAAGGCCCUCGGGUUGUAAAGCCCUUCUGUUGGGAAAGAAAAGCAGCAGGUUAAUACCCCGCUGUUCUGACGGUACCCAAAGAAUAAGCACCGGCUAACUUCGUG